CCUAGACCCAGCACGCUCAUUAAGACCCAGGUACACACUUAUAAACCCAGUAGUGGGGAAGCAGAAACAGGAGGAUCACCAUGCUCACUGCUAGGUACUCACAUUUGUCGAAGAAGUGAUAAGGAGGCACCUACAGCUUGUUCCAAAGUUAGAAGUUGCUCUUGGUAGGAGAAAAUGUUUGCACCUGGCUCUGCAGUCCACGCAGCCUGAAAUGCAAUUCAUCAACCAUUCCCAUCUCAAAGGGCAGGCCAGGCAACCCAGCACCGAGAAGUCAUCCUUUUCCAAACGAUGGACUGGGUGGGAAACUUGCAAGUCUGCAGAAUGCAAUUACCCGAGUGGAACGUAAGCCAGGGCCAUGUCGGCAGGCCCUUCCCAUAUGCCAGGGAAGGGACCACCAGCUCUGUUGAGGCCAGCAGCCACCAUCUCAGCUCCAGAAGUCACCAAAAUGGCAGACAAUUAAAAUGCCAAGGGAAAACUGAACCU